ACUGUGCAAAGGUAGCAUAAUCAUUAGUUUUUUAAUUGGAAGCUUGAAUGAAUGGUUGGACGAGACAUUAGCUGUUUCAUAUUAAACAUUAGAAUUUUAUUUUUUGGUAAGAAAGCCUAAAUUUUUUUGAAAGACGAGAAGACCCUAUAGAUCUUUAUAAUUUUAUUAUUUUAUUUACUAAGAUUUAUUUGGUUAAUAUAAUUAAAUUUAUUUUAUUGGGGUGAUAUAGAAAUUUAUUUAACUUUCUUUAUUUUAUAUACAUUUAUUUAUGAUAUAAUAUGAUCCUUUAUUUAAGAUUAAAAAAUUAAGUUACCUUAGGGAUAACAGCGUAAUUUUUUCGGAGAGUUCAUAUCGAUGCCNNAGGUUGCGACCUCGAUGUUGGAUUAA
rnacentral:rRNA from 1 species